rnacentral:rRNA from 1 species
GAUGAACGCUGGCGGUAUGCUUAACACAUGCAAGUCGAACGGACUCUUCGGAGUUAGUGGCGGGCGGGUGAGUAACGCGUGAGAAUCUGGCUUUGGGUUCGGGACAACCACUGGAAACGGUGGCUAAUACCGGAUGUGCCGAGAGGUAAAAGAGAAAUUGCCUGAAGAUGAGCUCGGGUCUGAUUAGCUAGUUGGUGAGGUAAAGGCUCACCAAGGCAGCGAUCAGUAGCUGGUCUGAGAGGAUGACCAGCCACACUGGGACUGAGACACGGCCCAGACUCCUGCGGGAGGCAGCAGUGGGGAAUUGUCCGAAAUGGGCGAAAGCCUGACGGAGAAAUACCGCGUGAGGGAAGAAGGCUCUUGGGGUGUAAACCUCUUUUCUUAGGGAAGAACAAAAUGACGGUACCUAAGGAAUCAGCAUCGGCUAACUCCGUG